ACAUUUCCGACCACUGAUUUAUUACGUUGAGAACGCACUCUAGCAAUAAACACUUGAAAAAAUAGCGACAAUCCUCAGAACGCCGUUGAUAUAGCAUGUUUUAUAGAAACAGUUUCGGUUUCGAUCGAAACCGGGACUGGUAGUAUAAAAGCUGUGAUAAUAUAAUAAAUUAUUAGCAGCGAUUUGAGGUUUGUGAUCACUUUAUUUGUGAAUUAGAGCUCCUAAACUUUCAACUAAAGCAACAAAGUUAAUGGUUGAAGAAGAUAUCAUGCCACUACGCCUUUAGUUAGCGGCAAAACAUUCAUUUUGACGCCACUGCUAGCAACACUGGCAUUGUUUUUUUUUUAUUCCGUCGAGGAUUUUCCGUGCGUGAACGAUCGCCCGCUUGUGAAAAGUUAGUGCGACGCAGUGUUUCGUCUACGUAAGAUACCACUUUCACAAGAACAAAAAGGUUAUAAGUGCGAAGAGCGUGCCGUGCGGUGGUUUAACUGCAAGGACGUUGACGACUUCACCCCUGGGGAUGUCUUCAGUGCUUACUGGGAGCGGCGAUGAGAAGACCAAAGUCGGCUCUACGACACCGUGCUUCUGCAUAUGACAGUCCAAAGAAGAAAUGGACCAAUGUUUCAAUGCAUACGGAACAAAAAAAAAAAGAUACGCCGACCAGCCCAAACAAACAUUUAUGACGUCUCGGCUUUCAGCACGCAAGCCUUGAUCACAAUGAAUGCAUCACCAGAAGUGCUUCGUUUAAAUGGGCUUGAGUAAUCACUGCAAAGGCUGUGCGUAGAUGGGGUUUCAAUUUCCGUCGUUAAGAUUAACUCUCUUGCAAGUGGUCUGUAUGAUAAGUGAUUCUAUAUGUCGCCGAGAUGCUGCCAUAUUUUCUAUUGUGACGAUUUUUGCGUUGUCUCAAUCAAUCUUGUGGUCAUUCAUCACGGCGUGUUCAGCUAAAGCGUUGUUGUGGACGCUCUUAUUUUUUGUCACAAGCGUGCUGCUGCAGACGCUUCUUGUAGUUUCCUGACUCUCCGAUGUAAACACUCUUGCAGUCUGCCAAGGUAUCUAGUAAACUACACUGGGGAAUUGCUCCCUGGGCAGGCGGUCCUUCACUCUUACAAGUUGAUGGCGCAUCUUUUUGGGUGAAAUGUGUGCCACAUACAUGUCAUACUCACGUCGGACAUGUGCCAAACAUUCGCUUGUUGCAGAAAUAUGCAUUACAGGGGCUCGCUUCAUAGACGCGGGGGCCAGCAGGGAGGAGGUGCGUCAAGGUGUCAUUGUCAUGACAGCUGAAUUUCACCUCUGUGCACUCCGCUUUCAACAAGAGGGCUGUUGUCACCACGCUGCUGCAGCGUGCCAAAAGAUUGGGCUCAAAGCCACAUGAUGCAGGCAUGCAAAGGUACGGGAUGACCUCGCUCACUGUAGAUACCCUAGGCACUUUACCAGUGCAAUAGACUGUCAACUGUCAUGACGGGUACGCACUUACGCGCCUGCUUCCUGCUGGCCCCCGUACCGUAUAUUUCUUGAACAAACGAAUGUUUGGCACAUGUCCUACGUGAGUACGACAUGCACAUGGCACAGAUUCCACCCGAAAGUUCGUGCCAUCAACUUAUGAGAGUGAAGGAUCACCUGCCCAGGGAGCGUUUCCCCAGUGUAGUUUACUAGGUACCUUGAGCAGACUGCAAGGGUGUUCACAGCUGAGUCAGGAAACUGCAAGAAGUGUAUGCAACAGUAUGCCUGUGAUGUAAGUAAUACAAGCAUUCGCAACAAAGCUUCAGCAGAACACGCCGUGAUGAAUGACUACAAGAUUGAUUAAACCAACGCAAGAAUCGUCACAACAGAAAAAGUGACAGCAUCUUGGCUACGUAUGGAAUCGUUUAUCAUGCAGACCACUUCUAAAAGAGUUAACCUUAACAACAGAAAUCUAAACGUGAUCAAUGCGAGGUCUUUGCAGCAAUUUCUCAAACCUAUUCAAAUGAACCGCUUCUGCUGAUGCAUUCAUUGUUGCAAGGCUUCCGUGCUCAAAGCCGAAACAUGAUAAACGUUUGUUUGGUCUGGUCGGCAUCUCUUUUUGUUUCAAAUGUACGGUACCAGCCACACGGGAUUCCUUCACGCUGCCGACUUCCAUGUCAACACAAAGAGUGCAGAAACCGCAACAGAAGGCCACUUGCCACUUCGUUGCAAAGGAGACUCCUGAGGAGGCGUUUUGUGGAUGACACGGCCUGUUCGAGCCUUCCAUUGUGGGAUGAACAGUUAUUCCCAUCAUUAGAGCCUUCACCAAAUGAGAUUGGAGGUUCAGCACAGUGUUGCUACGGCAGCAACAACUGCGCCUGCUACUGAGUCUGCUGCCACCUCAUAUCCUGCAGCCACACCAACUAAAUGUGCUGCCUCUUCUGGUCCUGCAGCCUUAGCAGUCACACUGCUUUCUACCUCUGAUGCUGACAUGUCGCAGUGUUCGUUCAGCAAGAAUGAACAGCUAAGAUAAUCAAGGAUCCACAAGGAGUAUUAUAGGUGCGUAGCCUAUCAUGAUAAUAACUAGUAACAAGAGUGCUUAUUUGGGCCAGUCUGUACAUGUCCAUAAGAAAUGAGAAACAGCAUGAACCACAGGAUGACAGGACAGAGAUGAACUAAGCGCUGUUCUGUUCGGACUACGUUUACAGUGCAAGUA
rnacentral:lncRNA from 1 species